UAUUAUUCCCAAAAUUAAAAC
rnacentral:piRNA from 1 species